ACACAGAGACACUGAGAUAUAGGUUGCCGAAUGGCAACCACACGCAUACCAAGAAGACUCAAACGAAUGCAGAGCAGACCAGGACUCGUACGAAAGGACAGUAGGACAGACAGAGGGACAGUUGUGGGAUGCCAGCUGCUUAGUGCUCAAAGUCAAAAGCAUAUUUUGAUUACUUAAAUUAAAGUGGAGAGUGGAGAGGGUUCGGGCAAUGGCAAGGAAAACCCCAAAGCGGCGUUGUCACCUUUUGGGUCGGGGGGUUUGGGUGUACAUCAGGUGGCGCUCCUGCUGCUCCUCCCUUGGUGGUGAGCCCCAAAGCAAACUACUUAAAAAGAGAUCGUCAGGCGACAGCAGCCGAAAAAAAAGGUUAAGAGGCUGCAGCAGCCUCGAGAGUACCAGAGCCCUGCAGAGCCCUGCAGAGCCUUAGGAGUAGGUGACACGGCAACAGCAGCAGCAGCAGCAGCCGCAACGGCAGCAACAAUGGGGCAGCCACAAACAACAGCUAGACCAACACAAUACAGUUACAUUUCACUGAUUACCUUUUGGCUGUGGCACGGCACCCCUCCUGUAUGUGCGUGUGUGUGUGUGUGCGUGGACAGAUUUCUCUUGUUAACUACUAAUCCUAGUAAAAGGCCUUGUUGCCGUGCCCAACCCCAAGAGCCAGCAGCCAGCAGC